UCUAAGGAGGUUGCCCACACAAGGGGGUCUCUCUCUGAGGGGGAUGUGGUCAGGCAAGGCCUCUCAGCAGAGCAGGUGUCUUCACAAGUGAGAAGCAGCCAGGCAGGGGAGGAAGGAAGAACCAGACAGAGGAGCUGACAGGGCAGUUUUGAAAACAAGCAGUACUUUCCUCUGGCUGGAUAGGGAGGAAGUGAGAACUGAGGCUGGAGAGGAGAGCAGGAUGGCAGCUGAGGUGGUGUCCACACCUGGGUCAUUUCUGGGCAGCAAGGACCAAGAACUCUAGGCUGGGGCUCUACAGAGCAAGGCAAGACUAUGGCUUCCUCCUGGCCUCUUCGCACCCACUCCCACCCCUCCCCCAGCUUGUUACUGUAGCCAGCAGAGUUCCUUCUAACCAUCCUAUAAGCAUUGCCCUGGAGAGGUGGGUGCAGAUAGCCCAAAGCUCCAAUGCCCUGUGGGAAGUGAUGUGAUAGUCAUGACCUUGACCUUGGAGGUUCUAUGGAAGCCUUUCUCAGAGGAAAAGGCCCUAGCCAGGGCAGGGGCCAGGGAAGGAUUCCCAGAAGAGCCCAGAGCAGACAGGGUGGACCUGAGCCCAGCAGGGUUUUCUGGGAGGAUGGAGGGAGACACAGAGGAAGUGGAGUGUCCCAGACAAUACUUGAAUAGUGCAUGUGACCUUUCCUCUUGGCCUGUGGUCACCAAGCACCUGCUGUGUGCCAGGCAGAACAGGCCCCUGCUAUUUCAGAGCUUCUACAACAAAUGAGACCUUGUCUGAGGGUGAGGAGAGUCACAUGGCUGGGGAGGAGGCUUUAGCUGUUAGGGGCGCCUUUCAGAGCAUCUGCCCUCUGAGCUUGGGACCAAGGACAAGAGGACAGCAGCCCCAGCUCCAGGAGAGGGGAGGGAGAUGUUCUAAGCUGAAGAUGGGUAGAAGGGACCCUGCUGGCUGUAGGGGUGGGCUGGAGAGUGGGGGAGUGGGUACAGGGAGGCCAGGAAGGUGGGUAGUGGCCAGCGCCCAGUGGAGGGAGCUGGAUGUAUCCUGGAGGAGAAUGACAGGACCGGUGAGUGGACUGGGGAGAGGGAAGGGAAGUGCCCUGGAUGCCUGGCCAGGGAGUCUCUGGGGCCUGAGAUGCUGGCACUGCCAACCGAGAGACUGGCUGGUCUCUGCCACUGACUAUCAGCAGGCCUGACUGGAGUGCAGCUGCUUCUCUGAGGAAGAACGGUAAUCUGGGAUGCGGGUGCCAGCAUCUCCCCUGCCAGGACCACUGGAUCUGACCUGCCCCCUCAAGUGCCAGCUCGCCCAUGUCUGCAGCCAGCUUCCGCACGCUCACAGCCUCUGAGUCACCCUGGAUGUCAGGGACGGCAUUCCGACGGCCCGUCCGGUCACAGGAGAUGAAGUCCGAGUAGGAGGACUCGACCUCCAUCAUGCUUGUUGCAUCGCUCCUCAGGCCUGUGGGGACACGGGGCAGGAGGGCAGAGGUGAGGCAGAAUGACAGCUACUGCCUUUUUCACUGCAGACAGAGCAGAAAGCACAGAAAAUACAAAGAACAAAAUCAGCCACCUGUAACCCCCGACACAGCCAACCACCACCACCAUCUCAAAGAACACAGCCUUUAUUCUAAGGAAACAUUGACACACUUAUCAGUAUCAUGUGCCAGGCACUGGCUAGGUGCUAUAGAUGUAGCAGCAAACAAGUAGGCCAUGGUCCCUGCUCUCACAGGACUUACGAUCUACCAGAGGCGGCAUCCAACUACCCAGCACCUACAUCAGAACCACAGUGCACAGCCCUGUGAGGGAGAAUGCAGGGUGCUGAAGUGACUGGCAGGACCUGACCAAGGCUGGAGUUGGCAAAGCGACAUGAACAGACAUUUAGAUGAAGAGUGAGAGGAAGAGCAUCACAGAGAAGGAACAUCUUCUCUGUGAUGCACCUGUGAAGACUCUGAGGAGGGAGGGUAUGGUAGGCUGAAAAGCAAAAGAGCCAGCAGCCUGGAGAAUGGUGGGGCAGGGACACUGAGGACAGUGCUGAGGUGGGCAGGGGUCAGACCACAUCUGAAACUUGGACUCUGAGGGGUGUCAGGCCAGGUUAUGAAUGAUUAGCUGUGCGUUUCAAAGAUGACUCAGGGUUCUAGCUGGAGCUGGGCCUGGAAGGAAGGAAGUCGGGAGACUUCCGCUCCGGUACAAGAAGACAGUGGUGGAGCAAGGCGGUGGCGAGGCCGACUUGAGAUGUAAUUUGGAGGACAAAUCCAUAAUAGUUAUUGUUUGAUGGGGAACUUAGGUUGCACUUGAAUAAACAGGUGGACAGCGGUGUGGCUUCCUCAACAGGGAAUGCCAGCAGAGUAUCUGGGGAGUGAAGGCGAGUUCUGGGGGUGAAGUUAAGAGUUCUAGUUAGUGACGCCAACCUUGUAUGGCCUGUGAGCCCUCCCAGAGGACACAGGGAGUAGAUACAGGGACCAAAGGGGCUGGCGCUCAGAAGAAAGAUGGGGUAUAAAGGGAGGAAAGAGAUGAAAGAAGAAAUCAUUACUAUUGAGAUGGGGACUAACAGCCCUCAUUGUUGAGGAACAGCCUAGGAGUGAGAAGAAGACAGCCACAGCUGUAAAGAAGAGCCAUAUACGUUAAGAAGCAUAUGGCCCUGGGCUUGAAACACACCCCAAAAAAAAUUAUCUGGGGAUCAUACUACACAUUGUGUUUUAUAGCCUAUUCUUUGGAACAAAGACCUGACUCUCUCUCUGAGCCUCUAGUUCCCCAUCUAUAAAACAAAAGCAGGGCCAAAAUUCUGUGUAAGGCGAUUUCCCCUUCUAUCCAGAAGAUGGCGCACCUUGCAUAUCUUUCUUUGCUGCCUGAGGGGUGGGGGUUCAGGCUCCUCCUCAGCUAAAGGAAUUCCCAGAGGCAGUUCCUUCUGUAGGUCACAGUUUCACUUCAACCCUCUCCCUAGGGAGAAAAUGCUCAAGUCUUCAUAUUAGGAGAAUGGGCUGCUGUAAUAAUGGUAACAAUAGCAUAACCACCAGUCCAAAUUAUGAGGACAAUGCUAAUAAUAGCAAAGGUAGUGUGACCAGGAAUUUAUGCUUUGUAUACUUCACUUAAUGGCUGGCACAGAGUCUGAGCUAAGUUUACAAGCCUGAAUGGGAAGGGCCUCAGCAGACCCUCUGGGUCCUAGGCCUAGGCUCUGCUCCCCUUGUACCUGCUGCUCAUGAGAAGGGUCUGACCCUGUCAAGCCACUCUGUCCCCUGAAGCCCUGGUUUCUUCAGCUCUUGUUCUCUGGUUAAAGUCAGCUCCAUGAAAACAGGAAGCUUCUCACCAUGCAAACAGACAGGACCAAUCCCAGCAGCUGUGAUCUGGCUGCUCCAUCCCUGGACACUCCUAGCAGCACCUGGGGGAGAGCAGCUGCUCUGUAACCGCUCCCAGGAUCACAUUUCAUCUGUCUAUCCAUCCAGGCAUCCAUCCAGCCCCUCUGCCACCACCUCUCUAGGGAUGAUGGACUGUCUCCACUCAGGACCUGGGAAAGGUCUGCAUCCUGCAGAGUGCUGCUCUUCUUGUCUGGUAUCUCCAGGAGAAUACCUUGGGAUGGAGUUACAAGCUCAUCUAAAAGGCUAGCCUCACUCCGAGACAGACACCCUGGGGCUUUGCCCCGCCUAACCCUACAAGCUUCCCAGGACAGAAAGCUGCCCAUCCUGGCACAGAGAGGGCACUCUGACAAGCUCAAAGCCCAGUCCUGGAACACACCCACCAAGCCAUCUGGAGCUCACUCAGCUGCCCCCUCCCCAUCCCUGCAGGGCCCUGGGAGCCCUCUGUUCCAAAGCACCAGUGUAUUAGAUUCUCAUUUCUCUUACACAUUUGUGCUCAUAUGUGCUCAUAUUCUGCUCUUUAAAGUUAAAAGCAAAUGGGAAAAUAAAAGAAAGAAUCCUCAGAGUGGAAUAUUGUGCCA